GUAUCACAGACACUCAGAAUUUCAUUUAGGUGAGACUUGAACCUUGGAGUAGAAAAUGUGAGAUUAUUUUUUGGGCUCAGACUGCCUGCAAUCACUAGCAUGCUCCCAACAACUGAGUGAACCAUUACAAGCAGGAGACUGCUUUUGCAGUUUUUUUUUUUGCCUGCAUUUGGUACUUAAGACCAUCUCUUGACAGAAUAAAUUGCCUCAAUCCCAUGGCCUUUCACUGAGCUGGAACAACCACCUGUGAGUUGUCAUUUAUAUGUUUCUUAUUACAGAUAUUCAUCAUGUAUCAGAAGUCUUUCUGUGUCAAACAUCCAGCAAAGAUUUCUUCAGGAAAUGGCCUUGUGAGAAAAAGUCUUUUUUCUUCUAAAUGCUGUAAGAGCUAUUUGCAAAUGCUUGAAAUUCAGCUAAGCUAUGCCACAGAUCCUGCCAGUUGCCUGCCACAAAGUUAAAGUGCCAGUAACUAUGCAGUCUCACUGCAAGGUAAAUGAAAGUCAAGAAAAAUGGUGAAUGCAUUACUAGACAAUCUAUUACUGAUUUUGUUCAGCCCUGAACUCUGAUUGUUUGAAAUGUCAGCAUCAGAAGAAACACCCACUCGCUUACGUUCCCUGAAUACGUUCUUCCAGAGUUUGAGUUGUGUUCCAUCAGUGUUUCUACUGCUCUUGAUCAAGACAAGGAAACCACCUCAAAUUACAACUGGAAGUCACUUUAAGUUGUUGUUCUCUCAUAUUUUCUUUCAAGGUGAGUACAAAUUUAUGUUCUGAGAAGCCUAAUUAAUGUUAACUGCAUAUGGAGAAAUGAUGGGCUUGCUUGUUUCAGCUGUCCCUAGGGGUAUGCCCUUCCCAACUGAAUUAAGUUGCCACUGUGUUUCACUAAUGUGCAUCUGAUGCUUAAUGAAUUGGAGUGUUAUUACCCUUGAUUAGAGGUGGAAUAAAAUUGAGUCCAAG
rnacentral:lncRNA from 1 species